UGGCGGACGGGUGAGUAAUGUCUGGGAAACUGCCCGAUGGAGGGGGAUAACUACUGGAAACGGUAGCUAAUACCGCAUAACGUCGCAAGACCAAAGAGGGGACCUUCGGGCCUCUUGCCAUCGGAUGUGCCCAGAUGGGAUUAGCUAGUAGGUGGGGUAACGGCUCACCUAGGCGACGAUCCCUAGCUGGUCUGAGAGGAUGACCAGCCACACUGGAACUGAGGCACGGUCCAG
rnacentral:rRNA from 1 species